GACGAACCGUGCGAACGUUGUUCGGAAUCACUGGGCUUAAAGGGCGCGUAGGCGGCGCGGUAAGCGUGCGGUGAAAGCCCGGGGCUCAACCCCGGGUCGGCCGUGCGGACUGCCGGGCUCGAGCACUGUAGAGGCGGGUGGAAUUCCGGGUGUAGCGGUGGAAUGCGUAGAGAUCCGGAAGAACACCGGUGGCGAAGGCGGCCCGCUGGGCAGUGGCUGACGCUGAGGCGCGACAGCGUGGGGAGCAAACAGG
rnacentral:rRNA from 1 species